rnacentral:rRNA from 1 species
CCCUUAGAUGUUCUGGGCCGCACGCGUGCUACACUGAGUGGAUCAGCGGGUCAGGUUGCGCGAAAGCGUUUCCUAAUCUUUAAAUCCGCUCGUGAUGGGGAUUGACGGUUGCAAUUUUCUGUCAUGAACGAGGAAUACCUUGUAAGCGCGGGUCAUCAUCCCGCGGUGAAUACGUCCCUGCCCUUUGUACACACCGCCCGUCGCUCCUACCGAUUGAGUGGUCCGGUGAGGCUUUGGGAUCUGAGCGGAAAGAGCGUUUCGCUGUUUCUGCUCGGAAAACUCAGUCGAACCUUAUCAUUUAGAGGAAGGAGAAGUCGUAACA